GGGGUUUUAGCUCAGCUGGGAGAGCAUCCGGUUCGCAAUCGGAAGGUCGGGAGUUCGAUCCUCCUAAGCUCCACCA
rnacentral:tRNA from 1 species